AACGCACAUUGCGCCCAUUAGUAUUCUAGUGGGCAUGCCUGUUCGAGCGUCAUUUCAACCCUUAAGCCUAGCUUAGUGUUGGGAGACUGCCUAAUACGCAGCUCCUCAAAACCAGUGGCGGAGUCUGUUCGUGCUCUGAGCGUAGUAAUUUUUUAUCUCGCUUCUGCAAGCCGGCCAGACGACAGCCAUAAACCGCACCCUCUCGGGGGGCACUUUUUUAAUGGUUGACCUCGGAUCAGGUAGGAAUACCCGCUGAACUUAA
rnacentral:misc_RNA from 3 species